GCCACAGUCAAAGAUGGAGAAUCCAUGGUGCCACUUUCCCGGUGAUCCCGGUGGGGGAAGGGGUUGCCGCCCGGCAGAGAUUCAGUCCCGAAUCCCGACAGCGAAGAGACUUGUAUGCCACCUGCAGGCCGGGGAGCGGGGCGCGCUGGGGCUGCACCACCCCGAACUUUGUAACAAUCUAGAGCACCACAGAGUGUUUCCAGGUCGGCACAAAAGCGAACGGGACAGGGCGCCCUGGGCGGCGGCAGCUUGGCCGGCCCGCUGCCUAGCGCGCCCCCGAGGGGCGGUAAUGGAACGUACCUUUGGCUGAAGAAAGAGUGCUCCCGGCCAGCGCGGGGUCGCCUAGGGGGUUCCGCGCUGCCUAAUGCAAAGGAUGGAAAAGUUACAGAAGCAGGUCCUGACACCACCUAUGUCUAGGUCUUUAGAAACUCCAUUGAUUGUUUGCAUUAGAAGAUAAUGAAUGGGAUUCUUAUUAUUUUCUUUUUUAAGACAGGGCCUUGCUCUGUUGCCCUGGCUGGAGUGCAGUGGAGCGAUCACCGCUCACUGCAGCCUUGACUUCCUGGGCUCAAGAGAUCCUCCCACCUCAGCCUUCCGAGUAGCUGGGAUUACAGGUGCACACAAUCACACUCAACUAAUUUUUCUUUCUUUCUUUUCUUUUCUUUUUCCUUUGGUAGAGAUGGGUUUCAGCAGCCCAGGCUGGUCUCGAACUCCUGGACUCAAGUGAUUGGCCCUCCUCGGCCUCCCAAAGUCCUGGGAUUACAAGCGUGAGCCACCAUGCUCAGUUGGCGGGGGAUUAUCUGUGAUCCAAUGAAGUUGGACUAGAGAUGUGAAGCCUUAGAAAACGGUGGAUUGAAAAAAGAAUUUUAGUCUCCUCCAGAGAUUAUAUUUUGUGUGUUCAUUGCUCUCAAAAACAUGAAAAUAAAGAGUAUUUUAUAUUGUGAUUUGUAGGACAAUAGCAUGCUUGUA
rnacentral:lncRNA from 1 species